ACGCACGCUGGCGGCGUGCUUCACACCUGCCAGUCGAACGGUGAAGCGCCUUCCUUUUUGGUGGGUGUGGAUGAGUGGCGAACGGGUGAGUAACACGUGAGUAACCUGCCCCCUUCUUCUGGAUAACCGCAUGAAAGUGUGGCUAAUACGGGAUAUUCUGGGUCUGUCGCAUGAUGGGUCUGGGAAAGAUAUUGUUUCGGUGGGGGAUGGGCUCGCGGCCUAUCAGCUUGUUGGUGGGGUGAUGGCCUACCAAGGCGGUGACGGGUAGCCGGCCUGAGAGGGUGGCCGGUCACACAGGGACUGAGACACGGGCCAGACUCCUACGGGGGGCAGCAGUGGGGAAUAUUGCACAAUGGGGGCAAGCCUGAUGCAGCGACGCCGCGGGAGGGAUGGAGGCCUUCGGGUUGUGAACCUCUUUCGCCAGUGAAGCAGGCCUGCCUCGUUUGUGGGUGGGUUGACGGUAGCUGGAGAAGAAGCGCCGGCUAACUACGUG
rnacentral:rRNA from 1 species